rnacentral:rRNA from 1 species
UACGUAGGGUGCAAGCGUUGUCCGGAAUUAUUGGGCGUAAAGAGCUCGUAGGCGGUUUGUCGCGUCUGCUGUGAAAACCCGGGGCUUAACCCCUGGCUUGCAGUGGAUACGGACAGACUAGAGGUAGGUAGGGGAGAAUAGAAUUCCCGGUGUAGCGGUGAAAUGCGCAGAUAUCGGGAGGAACACCGGUGGCGAAGGCGGUUCUCUGGGCCUUACCUGACGCUGAGGAGCGAAAGCGUGGGGAGCGAACAGG